rnacentral:rRNA from 1 species
GACGAACGCUGGCGGCGUGCCUAAUACAUGCAAGUCGAACGCUUCUUUCCUCCCGAGUGCUUGCACUCAAUUGGAAAGCGGAGUGGCGGACGGGUGAGUAACACGUGGGUAACCUACCCAUCAGCGGGGGAUAACACGUGUAAACAGGAGCUAAUACCGCAUAACAGUUUAUGCCGCAUGGCAUAAGAGUGAAAGGCGCUUUCGGGUGUCGUUGAUGGAUGGACCCGCGGUGCAUUAGCUAGUUGGUGAGGUAACGGCUCACCAAGGCCACGAUGCAUAGCCGACCUGAGAGGGUGAUCGGCCACACUGGGACUGAGACACGGCCCAGACUCCUACGGGAGGCAGCAGUAGGGAAUCUUCGGCAAUGGACGAAAGUCUGACCGAGCAACGCCGCGUGAGUGAAGAAGGUUUUCGGAUCGGAAAACUCUGUUGUUAGAGAAGAACAAGGACGUUAGUAACUGAACGUCCCCUGACGGUAUCUAACCAGAAAGCCACGGCUAACUACGUG